GGCGACGUAGCCAAGUGGCUAAGGCAGUGGUUUGCAAAACCAUCAUUCGUCAGUUCGAUUCUGACCGUCGCCU
rnacentral:tRNA from 1 species